AUACGGAGGACGCGAGCGUUAUCCGGAUUCAUUGGGUUUAAAGGGUGCGCAGGCGGCCGUGCAAGUCAGCGGUGAAAGCCCGGGGCUCAACCCCGGAAGUGCCGUUGAUACUGCAUGGCUGGAAUGCGGUCGAGGCGGGCGGAACGGGGCGUGGAGCGGUGAAAAGCGUAGAUAUGCCACAGAACGCCGAUAGCGGAGGCAGCUCGCCAGGCCUGCAUUGACGCGCGGGCACGAAAGCGUGGGGAUCGAACAGGAUUAGAUACCCUGGUAGUCCACGCCGUAAACGAUGGGCGCUCGUCGUCGGCGGCAGACAGUCGGCGGCCAAGCGAAAGCGAUAAGCGCCCCACCUGGGGAGUACGGUCGCAAGGCUGAAACUCAAAUGAAUUGACGGGG
rnacentral:rRNA from 1 species